rnacentral:lncRNA from 1 species
AUGAGCUCAGUGAGCUUGCAGGUGGGUGGGCGGGCUGCACAGAAGCAGAGGGCAGUGAGUGGACUAAAGGGGGAUGGACGGACAUGGAGCUGGUGCAGUGAGCCAAGAUCACACCACUGCACUGCAGCCUGGACGACAGAGCGAGACUCCUCCAAAAGAAGAAAAAAAAAAGAAGAAAAGAAGAAGAAAGAGGAGAAGGAGAGAAGGAGAAGAAGAGGAGGAGGAAAGAAGCCUCUGGGUGACAGAAGUCUGUCUGGAAUGAUGUCUAUACUUAGGAGCAAGGAGGGAAGUGCCUACAGCCUGGGUUUAGGGCUGAUGGAGGCAGCAUAGAGAGACUACAGGCCAGGAAGGUCAGCUAUUGCUCACCCAGGUGUUGUCUUGGGACAGUCACUACCUACUUCCUACUUCUUCCCCUUAGAAACCAUCAGCAUAGCCAGGCCACAUGGAUCAGCCUUCCAGGAAAACAAAAUGCCCUAAUAAGGAGAAAAAUCAAGUGGAGUUAGAGAUCAUUCCCGGAGCAAUGCCUCCUGUCAGUGCUGCUUGUUUAGCAUGAAUUUAAGGGCAAAUCUCUGAUCAGAGGAUGACUUUCCCCUAGAAAGAUGUGAUUAGACCAGAGGGAUCAAGAGGUGUUCUGGUCAGGUGUGGUGGUUCAUGCCUGUAAUCCCAACAUUUUGGGAGCUGAGGUGGGAGAAUCAUUUGAGGCUAGGACUCGAGACCAGCCUUGGCAACACAGUGAGACCCCAUCUCUGCAAAAUAAAAUAAAAUAAUUAGCCUGGUAUGGUGGGACACAUCUGUGUUCCCAGCUACUUAGGUGGCUGAAGUGGGAAGAUUGCUUGAGCCCAGAAGUUCAAGGUGGCAGUGUAUUAUGAUCAUGUCACUGCAUUCUGGCCUGGGUGACAGAGACUCUAUCUCUUAAAAAAGGUUGCGGUGGGGGGGCACUCUGUGGCCUGGAGUUUAUCUCCUCCUCCCUCCUUAAACCCAAUGGGAGAGAUAUAGACUAGAGCCUGGUGCUCAGCCCUUCCCCCAAAGGUUGCCAUGCAGAGCGGCUGAUAUCCUAGGGGAACAGGAGCUCAUUGACCAAACUAAUUGGCCACCUGAGAAGUACAAACACAGUAAAAGGAGGACAACGAACAUCUACCAUCUGAAGCAAAAUUACUGGAAUAGACCAAUCCAGAACAUGCAUGAUAAACAUGAAAACAAAGCUAAAACAAGAACAAUAAAUCAUGUUGUACCACAUUCAUGAAGUAUAAUUAACAUACAAUAAACUACACUUACUUAAAAUGUGAUGAGCUUUGACAUAAGUAUAUACCUACCAAACCGUCACUAUAAUCAAAAUAAUCAACAUCUCUAUCACCCCUAAAGCUUCCUUGCACCCCUUUGUCUUAGUCUGCUCAGGGUGUUAUAAUAGAAUACUAUAGACUGGGGGUGGUUUAUAAACAACAGAAAUUUGUGUAUUUAUAUUUUAUUUUACUUUUUGAGAUGGAGCAUCAUUCUGUUGCUCA